CCUACGGGGGGCUGCAGUGAGGAAUAUUGCGCAAUGGCCGAAAGGCUGACGCAGCGACGCCGCGUGAGGGAUGAAGUCCGUUAGGAUGUAAACCUCUUUUGCAGGGGAUGAAUGUCUCGCUAUACGCGGGAUUGACCGUACCCUGCGAAUAAGGAUCGGCUAACUCCGUGCCAGCCGCCGCGGUAAUACGUAGGAUCCGAGCGUUGUCCGGAAUUACUGGGUGGUGAAGGUGUGUAGGUAGGUCCGUGGUGAAAUCCCGCAGCUUAACUGCGGAAUUGCCGUCGAUACUGGGGAUCUUGAGUACGGCAGAGGGAGAUGGAAUUCAUGGUGUAGCGGUGAAAUGUGUAGAUAUCAUGAAGAACACCGGUAGCGAAGGCGGUCUCCUGGUCCGUAACUGACACUGAUGCGCGAAAGCGUGGGGAGCGAACAGGAUUAGAUACCCGAGUAGUC
rnacentral:rRNA from 1 species